AUUGAACGCUGGCGGCAGGCCUAACACAUGCAAGUCGAACGGUAACAGGAAGCAGCUUGCUGCUUCGCUGACGAGUGGCGGACGGGUGAGUAAUGUCUGGGAAGCUGCCUGAUGUAGGGGGAUAACUCCUGGAAACGGUAGCUAAUACCGCAUAAUGUCGCAAGACCAAAGAGGGGGAGCUUCGGGCCUCUUGCCAUCGGAUGUGCCCAGAUGGGAUUAGCUAGUUGGUGGGGUAACGGCUCACCAAGGCGACGAUCCCUAGCUGGUCUGAGAGGAUGACCAGCCACACUGGGACUGAGACACGGUCCAGACUCCUACGGGAGGCAGCAGUGGGGAAUAUUGCACAAUGGGCGCAAGCCUGAUGCAGCCAUGCCGCGUGUAUGAAGAAGGACUUCGGGUUGUAAAGUACUUUCAGCGGGGAGGAAGGGAGUAAAGUUAAUACCUUGGCGCAUUGACGUUACCCGCAGAAGAAGCACCGGCCAACUCCGUG
rnacentral:rRNA from 1 species